GCAGGUGACGAGAAGAGUGUCGAU
rnacentral:siRNA from 1 species